rnacentral:rRNA from 1 species
UGCCAGCAGCCGCGGUAAUACAGAGGGUGCAAGCGUUAUCCGGAAUGAUUGGGCGUAAAGCGUCUGUAGGUGGUUUCGGAAGUCUAAUGUCAAAUACCAGGGCUCAACCUUGGAAAGGCAUUGGAGUACUCCGAGACUAGAGUGCGGUAGGGGUAGGGGGAAUUCCUUGUGAAGCGGUGAAAUGCGUAGAUAUAAGGAAGAACACCGGUGGCGAAAGCGGCCCUACUGGGCCGAGACUGACACUGAGAGACGAAAGCUAGGGGAGCAAAUGGGAUUAGAUACCCUGGUAGUCC